GUAGAGACAUCUAGUGGAGAAUUCAAGAAAUACAAUCAUAUAAAGGGAAAUAACUUCUACACUACAUCGACCAAGCUCCAAUUAUUAAUUAAGGUGCUCAAUUAGCGAUCGCUGACUCGCAGUUUCUAUCUGAACAGGCUUUGAAGUAGAAGAACACGAUGCCAAUACGAAAGCGAUCAAAGUUCAGCUCUAAAACUUCACGCAAACAGCAAAUGCGGAAAAAGCGUUCACAGGAGACGGCUGCAGAGAGAGAAGCUCGCCUAAGUGCAGACAGGGCAGCACGUAAAAAAGCGAGGCAAGCGGAGACAGCCGUAGAGAGAGAGGCACGCCUAAGCGCAGAUAGGGCAGCACGUAAAAGAGCAAGACAAGCGGAGACGGCUGCAGAGAGAGAAGCACGCCUAAGUGCAGAUAGAGCUGCCCAUCAAAGAGCAAGACAGGCAAAGAUGGGCAAAGUGAAAGAGAAGCUUGUCUUAAUAAAUCAGAGGGUCACACCAACGAACAAGAGAAUCUCAAGAUGUGUCUGCAAGAAGGCUAAGACAGAGAUUUGACGAGACAGCCCAAGCUGCAGCAGCUAAUGCACACAGGAACGUUGUCAGGCUCAAGGCUGCCCUCAGAACAGGUGAUAACUUUGUGCCAAAGAAUGAGACAGGAUGAUUUGAACAUCAGACUCCUGGAUCAGCUGCCUGGUGAGCAUUGCGGCUACAAGUGAAUUGACUCUGUGCUCAAAGAUGGGAACUGAACAGGAAGCGGGAUAGGACAUGGAACGGAAUCUUUUCGGUUUGACCGGCAGUUUUUUAAAUAAUUUCCACGUAACUAAACACUUUUAAACUUCGUAUACUGUUAGAAUGUGUUUAUAAAACAUCUUUUUCUCUUGGCUUUAUUGAGAAAAUUC